rnacentral:snoRNA from 1 species
AAAGAUGUAGUGAUGAUUCACUUCCAAUGCAUAGUUCAUCUGAAAGAAAUGAUGAAAACAUACCUUCACCUAGUCUUUCGCUCCCAUCUGAACACAUCUUG